rnacentral:tRNA from 1 species
UCCCAGAUGGCUCAGUGAUAAAGAAUCUGCCUGCAAAGCAGGAGACACAGGUUUGAUCCCUGGUUCAGGAA